rnacentral:rRNA from 1 species
AGCAGUAGCCGCGGUAAUACGGAGGGGGCUAGCGUUGUUCGGAAUUACUGGGCGUAAAGCGCACGUAGGCGGCUUGGUAAGUUAGAGGUGAAAGCCUGGAGCUCAACUCAAGAAUUGCCUUUAAGACUGCCGAGCUAGCAGGUGAGAGAGGUAAGUGGAAUUCCGAGUGUAGAGGUGAAAUUCGUAGAUAUUCGGAAGAACACCAGUGGCGAAGGCGGCUUACUGGCUCAUACUGGACGCUGAGGUGCGAAAGCGUGGGGAGCAAACAGGAUUAGAUACCCGCGUAGUCCCUGUCUCUUAUAA